rnacentral:rRNA from 1 species
CCAGUAACGGCGAGUGAAGCGGCAACAGCUCAAAUUUGAAAUCUGGCCCCCGGGUCCGAGUUGUAAUUUGUAGAGGAAGCUUUUGGUGCGGUACCUUCCGAGUUCCCUGGAACGGGACGCCAUAGAGGGUGAGAGCCCCGUCUGGUCGGAUACCAAUCCUCUGUAAAGCUCCUUCGACGAGUCGAGUAGUUUGGGAAUGCUGCUCUAAAUGGGAGGUAUAUGUCUUCUAAAGCUAAAUACCGGCCAGAGACCGAUAGCGCACAAGUAGAGUGAUCGAAAGAUGAAAAGCACUUUGAAAAGAGAGUUAAAAAGUACGUGAAAUUGUUGAAAGGGAAGCGCUCAUGACCAGACGUGGGCUUGGUUGAUCAACCUGGGUUCUCCCCGGUGCACUCUUCCUCGCCCAGGCCAGCAUCAGUUUGCUUCGGGGGAUAAAGGCGUCGGGAAUGUGGCUCCCCCGGGAGUGUUAUAGCCCGUCGUGCAAUACCCUGCGGCAGACUGAGGUUCGCGUUCCGCAAGGAU